rnacentral:snRNA from 1 species
GUGCUCGCUUCAGCAACACAUAUACUAAAAUAGUAACACAGAGAUUUAGCAUGGCCCAUGCACUUCACAAGCUUGUGAAGUGUUGUAUAUUUUU